rnacentral:rRNA from 1 species
GAUGAACGCUAGCGGCAGGCCUAACACAUGCGAGUCGAGGGAGAAGCCCUUUCGGGGGCAGAAACCGGCGCACGGGUGCGUAACGCGUAUGCAACCUACCUUUCACAGGGGGAUAGCCCGAAGAAAUUUGGAUUAAUACCCCAUAAUAUUAUUGGAUGGCAUCAUUUGAUAAUUAAAACUGCGGUGGUGAAAGAUGGGCAUGCGUCCUAUUAGCUAGUUGGAGUGGUAACGGCACCCCAAGGCUACGAUAGGUAGGGGUCCUGAGAGGGAGAUCCCCCACACUGGUACUGAGACAGGGACCAGACUCCUACGGGAGGCAGCAGUGAGGAAUAUUGGUCAAGGGUCGGAAGACUGAACCAGCCAUGCCGCGUGCAGGAAGAAUGCCUUAUGGGUUGUAAACUGCUUUUAUAUGGGAAGAAUAAGGCGUACGUGUACGUUGAUGACGGUACCAUAUGAAUAAGCAUCGGCUAACUCCGUG